AGGGAUAUAGCUCAGUAGUAGAGCACAUGCUUAGUACCCAUGAGGUCCUGGGUUCAAGCUCAAGUACCACCU
rnacentral:tRNA from 1 species